GACGGGGAGGGGCAAGUGUUCUUCGGAUUUACUGGGCGUAAAGCGCACGUAGGCGGAUCGUUAAGUCGGGGGUGAAAUCCUGGAGCUCAACUCCAGAACUGCCUUCGAUACUGGCGAUCUAGAGUCCGGAAGAGGUGAGUGGAACUCCUAGUGUAGAGGUGGAAUUCGUAGAUAUUAGGAAGAACACCAGUGGCGAAGGCGGCUCACUGGUCCGGUACUGACGCUGAGGUGCGAAAGCGUGGGGAGCAAACAGG
rnacentral:rRNA from 1 species